CCCUUAGAUGUCCUGGGCUGCACGCGCGCUACACUGGAAGUUACGGAUUGAGAUACUACCUUGUCCGAAAUGGUCCGGGUAAUCACCUAAAAGCUUGUCAUAAUUGGAAUGGAUUAUUGUAACUAGUAAUCCUGAACGAGGAAUUCCUAGUAAGUCCCAGUCAACAGCUGGUACUGAUUACGUCCCUGCCCUCUGUACACACCGCCCGUCGCUACUACUGAUUGGACGUUUAAGCAAGAUUUUUAAACACUGACAGUGUGUAGUUCACGCUAUACUACAGUGAGAAGAAGAAGAUCGAGCUUACUUGUCUAGAGGAAGUAAAAGUCGUAACA
rnacentral:rRNA from 1 species